rnacentral:rRNA from 1 species
UAUGGCUCAGAACGAACGCUGGCGGCGCGCUUAACACAUGCAAGUCGAACGCGAAAGGGACUUCGGUCCUGAGUAAAGUGGCGCACGGGUGAGUAACGCGUAGAUAACCUGUCUUCAUGUCUGGAAUAAUACGCCGAAAGGGGUACUAAUACCGGAUAUUCUUGCUUUUCAUAAGUUAUGCAAGCAAAGGUGGCCUCUGCAUAUGCUACUGCAUGAAGAGGGGUCUGACGUACCAUUAGCUAGUAGGUGGGGUAAUGGCCUACCUAGGCGACGAUGGUUAGCGGGUCUGAGAGGAUGAUCCGCCACACUGGCACUGGAACACGGGCCAGACUCCUACGGGAGGCAGCAGUGAGGAAUAUUGCGCAAUGGGGGAAACCCUGACGCAGCGACGCCGCGUGAGUGAGGAAGGCCUUCGGGUCGUAAAAGCUCUGUCAAGAGGAAAGAAGUGUACAAUGGCUAAUACCUGUUGUAUUUGACGGUACCUCUAAAGGAAGCACCGGCUAACUCCGUGCCAGCCGCCGC